rnacentral:lncRNA from 1 species
GCCUUAAUCACCACAGAAAUGGGGAAAUUAGUGUCAAGCUUGGAUAGAAUACACUUGAGACGUUAUACUUCUCACUAACGCCAUGUAUUCUUGUCCAUCAAAGACUUCUUUAGCUCAACCCAUCUUGGUCCAGCUCAUGUGUGAAAGGUAAUCCCAUAACCCCUAUCGAAAUUUCAAAAAGGAGCUCAAUUUUACAUUGUUAUGUAGUGCCCUUGUACUGAUGUACUAUAGAUCCUAUUUCAGACCUGUUCCAGGUGGAAAUCUGCAGUUCUCAUUCCGAUAAGUAUAAACACAACAUUAUCCAUUAUUGAUGUUUCUAUCAGUGCCUUCUAGAUUACCAUUUUCCUUAAAUCUUCGCCUUUUGACAGACUGAGCUCUGAGGGAACUAAUACCACUGUCUAAAAAACCAAGAUCUAAAGUCCAUAGGCUUCUGUUAGGUGCUUUCUUCCUCUUCUCUAAUUGCCUUUUACUGUAUCCACAUUCCAUUGCGUGCAUAUUUCUAAUUUACCUAUUACAAAUCAUAUAGUUAGUUUUGCAUUUUAGAAAUUCUAAUGUUUGGAAUCUGAUUUGCAUCCAUGAUUAAUAAAGAUUUUCCUUCUUUUGAUACUUCUUGUAUUGACUGAAAAGUUUUAGUUUAUGUACCUGCAAAAGAAAAAAUAAAGUUAGUGAAAUAGUCUGCCACUUUGUUGCCUUCCCUGAAUGUAUGUAACACUUUCACCUCCCUAUCGUUUCUCAAAAAGUUAAUCUUAUUUAUCAGCAGCUUUAUACACCAAGGGACUUCCCAAAUUCCAUUUAAAAUUUUGACCAGCACUAAUAAAUCAGUCUCUAAGCACACAUGAAGUAAAUUAUGUGCAACACAAUAAUUUAAUCCUUUCUCCAGGCACUAGUUUCAGCCUCCAAACUUGUUAUCAUGCCAAGCUUAUAGGUUGCAGCAAAUAUAAAAUCUCCUUUCCAAUUUCUAAUGCAAAACCCACCAGCACUUUGACCAGGGUUUCCUUUAGAAGCUCCACCUGAAUUACACUUGUAAGUCCCAUCAUUAGGAGGUUUCCAGUAAAUAACAGUAUGAAGUAUAGUUGGUUUUAUAUCCUUCAAGAAAAUGCACCAAAUUUGACCAAUCCUCAGGGAUAUUCCUCACCCAAGUUAUCUAAAAACAGUUAACAUGUGGGUUCCUGUUUAUUUCCAGUAUCAUGCCUUGCACAUUCUUGAUAUCCUGCACAACUGAACAUAUUGUUAAGGGCCCUAAUAAGGACCUCAACUGUUAGGAUGAAUAAAGAAGAAGAUAGAGGAUCUCCUUGUUUAACACCCCUAGAAGAGUGAAAAAAUCCACAAGCUUGGCCAUUGACCAAAACAAAAUACCAAUUGUUGGCCACUAGUCUCCAUAUUUUAUCAAUAAAGACAUUGUUGAAGCCCACUUUUCCAAGACUUUAAUCAAAAAGCCACAAUCUACCCUAUCAUAAGCGUUAGCCAUGUCAAGUUUAAACACCACAUUAGAAACUUUACUCCUCUUCCUAAUAUCCACAAUAAUCUCUUGAGCAAGUAGGACAUUUUCUGUAAUACUUCUUUCCUUGACAAAACCAUAUUGAUUAGAAGAAAUAAGAGCAGGUAAGAAUAUUUCCAGUGUAUCAUGAACAACCCUGGAAAUAACUGUCACGCCCCAAACUCAUGGGGCGCAACUGGCUGGCGUUGUGCAGCUACUAACUGUGCUAACAUACAUACUGCACUCUUAAAAUCCUGGUCAAAUGGAAUAAGAGGAACUAAAUAUGGUACUGCUGGUGGAGUCGGGGAUCCUGUAGCCCUCGGAGGCUCCUGAAGCGGUGGAGAAACUAUAGGGGACUGAGAAGAUGUAUCCCCCUGGGUCUCACAAUGGGCUACCUCCACCUGUGGUAUCUCGCCAGUGCCCUCGCCUGCAGUUGUAUCUAGCCCUUCGCUAGUUGUGGUCUGUCUGGUGUCAACCAUCUCUAUCUGCAUAGAAAUAUCAAUUAUAAGCCAGAAACCUCAACCCUUAAGACACCGCUCUAUAGCACGAAGUGAGCAAAAGAAGGAUAGUAAUUCUAACAUGCCCGGUAGCUUCUUGCUUAUUGAAUGUGGUGCACCACACAUUUAUAAUCAAGACUCUACUAGAUACGGCCUGUAGACUCCCUAGGAUACGACGUUGCUCUGAUACCAAGUUUGUCACGCCCUAAACUCAAGGGGCGCAACUGGCUCCUAAUGCCAAAACUCAGGCCCGAGCCGACCCUGCUGAACCAUUUGCUACUAGAACAUGACAGCCACACGCAAUCAAGAAAACAAACAAGUAUAUAUCGGCUUAAAGCUAAGCCCUCGACCGGCAAGGCCCCUGUUAACAAAUUUGCAAAAGAAACAGCUACUCCCAAGAGUUCAUAUAAAGAAAUUGCCAACUAGCACAGAAGUCCUGAUUGGGCCGUCAAGGCCACCAUGAUCUCUAUACCAAAACUAAAAGCAGGUAUAUAACAAGACAAUGCAUCACACAACUAACAAGCUUCAGCAAACCAACAAAACUAGGCCAGCAUGGCCAUAACGUAGCUAUAAACCCCACACAUUAGUCUACAAGCCUCUAAGAGUAGUAAAGAUUGGUGGGACAGGGCCCUAGCCUACCCAUAAAAAAUAUAUACAACAAAAGCUAACAAACCUCUAAACUCUGGCAGCUCCGAAGGAAAGGGGCUAGCCAACCGGAUAGAAGUCAAUCCUGCUGCUGAGGAGGUCUACUCGGUUGUCUAUUGGGACCUGAAUGCAUGAAUGCAGCGCCCCCAGGCAAUGGGGCGUCAGUACAAAAUAAUGUACGGAGUAUGAAAGGUAAUAGACUAUGAGCAGGUAUCCUAAUAUACCGGAAUAAUUCGAUAAAUAAAUCAAGAAUAAGAUAAGUGUACUGACCUGCUCCUAAAUCUAAACUUAUCAAAAAUAAUAAAACAACAACCUAACCAAGCCCCCAUAAGCUCGGCAGGUACAAACAACAGACAAGACCACCUACUCAGGCCACCAUAAGCCUGGAAGGUGCCAAUUAGUCUAUAUAACCCUAUCGGUAGUCCCCUAGCCCCGUAGGAAGUCACAUAGCCCUCUUAGGCAUUAAUAUAUCCCCGUAGGCAGCACAUAGCUCUCUUAAGCAUCAACAUAGCUUAUAGACAACUCAUAGCCCUCUUAGGCAACAACAUAGCCAUGUAGGAAGCACAUAGCCUUCUUAGGCAUAAAUAUAGCCCUGUAGGCAACUCAUAGCCCUUCUAGGCAUCAAUAUUGCCCCGUAGACAACUCUAACUCAUAGCCCUUUUAGGCAUCCAUAUAGCCCCGUAGGCAGAACAUAGCCCUUCUAGGCAUAGAUCACAUUCUUGCAGCUAACCACAAUAGCCCCAAGGGCAACAAUAACAAUCCAAUCGCUAAAGCGAGUAAUUUAGUUAUAAGAAACCUAUACAAAUAGCCUCUAAGAUGUGUCCAACAUAGGGACGCUACUGACUGAAUAAGAAUUUCGACAAGGGAGGAUUAUAUCAACUCGAGCAGCCAACAAUCAACAAUAACAGCUACAAGUAUAUCAAGGAUAACAACCUAAUUACAUUACUCCUAAGCUUUAAGGAAACAUGCCGUAAGUAGGGAAUAGCCUUAACAUACCUUUUUUUGCUGAAUUCACGUUGCCUGACGACUUUUACUCAUAACCCCUCGAUAUUACAACAAGGUAGGACCAUCAUCAACACACAAAAAUAGAAGAUACCACGACAAUCCGAUAAAAGAUAUGUAUUUCCGUUGCAAAUUGCUAUUUGCUGCUUAUAAAAACUAGAUUCGAUGAAAGAAGGGUCUUACCUCGAUCUUAAGUUUGUAAUACACCUCAAAACCUUCAAAUAUGUCCAAACCCUUGAUGUCCCAACACUAAAGUGUGAUAUGCUACGAAAUCGAUAAAACAAAUUAUACCACGAUGAUGAGCCCAACGCGUAGAACAACUUUCGUCAAGGACUUAAGUUGAGAAAAUCUAUACUUUAGUUGAUCCUAGAAAUGGGUUUCUCAAAUUUUUCUGGUUCUUAGCUUGAAAAUGAAGAAAAGGUCAAAGAAGAAGAUGUAUAUAAAGUUCCAACGACCUAUGGCCCCACCUCACGUGCUUGCUUGCGCAGUCCCACGAAAACACAAAUAUCUCUCUAUUCUGAAGUUGUAUGAACAAAUAGUUUGAUGUGUUGGAAACUAGACUCAUAGACCUUCGAUUUCAUAGGUCGUAGGCUCCAUAACUCUUUAUAUAUUUGGAGAAAACCUCCAAGACAUUUGACCCAAAUUUUAGAGAAAUCUUUAAAAAGGAACUUACGGUAACUUUCGCCAACUUUCAUUUUGCUGCUUACCUAACUUCAAAACUUGAGAUACCACCCUUGAACACUUAAAAUAUGACAUACCACAUCAUUCUUAAUUUAUUACCCACUCUCCUGGUCUUUUCGUGAAGAUACGAGUAAUUUUAUACGUUUCAAAAAGGCGGGGUGUUACAAUAACUUUGUUAAUAAAGUUGCUAAGACUGAUAGGCCUUAGAUCAGCAAAAGAAAUCACCUUUUCUUUCUUAGGAAUCAAAACAAGGUUAGUAUGAGUAAUGGAUUUUGGGAGUGUUGUCCCUUUAAAAAAAGCAAACACUACCUUUACUAUAUCAUCACCUAUUAUCCCAGCAUUCCUGAUAAAAGUGACCAAUCAAACCAUCAGGUCCACUUAUACUAUUCCCAUUGAGCUCAAAGACCACCUUUUUAACCUCCUCAGCAAUGGGAAUCCUAUUAAGCAAUUCAUUAUCUUCCUCCUUAAUCAAAGAGGGGAUUGAUCUUGAUAGAAUUUGAUUCUUGAAUAUCACUAGAAAAUUGAUCUUGAUAGAAUUUGACAGCCUCUUCCCCAACCUCACUACCUUCAGCCCAUGUACCAUCAGCUUUCUGUAUUUUGGUCAAUUCUAGUCUUCUCCUUCUACCUUUUACAAUGUUGUGGAAGAAUUUGGUGUUCCUAUCUCCUUCAAUAAACCAUUUCAUCCCAGCCUUUUGUCUCUAGAAAUCCUCUUCAAACUUCAAGUAUUUGGUAUAUUCUGCUUGAGCUCUAUUCAGAAUGGAUCUAUUAGCAACAUUAGGAACAUCCUCAAACAAUUUUUCUUUGAUUUUCAGAAUAUCCUCUCUUACAAUUAAUUGUUUGAAAAUAUCCCCAAAACUUUCUCUGCUCCACUUUGCCAGAGCUAGUUUAGUCUUCUUCAUCUUGAUCUUUAGGUUAACAAACACAUCAUCAAAAUAAUCAGCAUCCCAAUUCUUCAUAAUCAGCUCUUUGAACCCCUCAUUUUCCGUCUAACAGUUGAGGAAUCUGAAAGGUUUGAGGAAAUGGAAAGAUUGAACCCUACAAGACAACAACAUAGGAGCAUGAUCUGACCCUGUCCCAGCCAAAUGUUCCAAGUCCACAUGACCCAACCCUUCCAAAAAGUCCUGAUUCCCCACAACUCUGUCUAGUCUUUUAAAGAUACAUUCCCCAUCAUACCUCCCAUUCCACCAAGUGAAAGGGCUACCUUUGAAAUUAAUAUCAAAUAGCUCACAAGAAUUGAUACAAAAAGUAAAAUCUCCCGCCUCAUUUGGAUAAAUAGGUAAACCCCCUAUCUUUUCUUUAGCAUCCAUAAUAACAUUAGUUCCCCCCCCCCCCCCCAACAAACCGGGGAAAUUCAUAUUAUGCCCAAUUGCAUACAUUUCCUCCCAGAAUAACAGUCUUUCAGCAGUUGUACACUUGGCAUAGAUAAGUGUACCAACUAUCUGAUGCCUACUAAGGAAAAUCAUUUUAAUAGUCAAUUGUUGUUCAGAGUUAGACAUAACCUCCACCUGAAUAUCUUCUUUUACAAACAACCAAAUCUUCCCAUUGAUGUUAUAAUUUGCGUAUGCCAUGCCUAAUCUCCUUUUAAACUGCUGAAUCUGCCUAGUUUCUUGAAAAGGUUCCAUUAAGGUAACCAAAUCAAAUUUGUGAUGUCUAUGAAGCAUUUGAACUCUAUAGAAAGAAUGAUUAGAUCUGACUGAUCUAAUAUUCCAUAUUAAUGCUUUAAAGAUCAUUUUAACAUGGCUCGACCAGACCUCACAAGGUUAGUCCUAAUGGGCAUAUCCCAUUGAGGCUUACUUUUCUUCUUCUUUGAUUUCCCUUGGGGGGAACCUCCUGCAUUUGUAUCAACCUGAGCAUGAUCACUUUGAUGUUCAACUUCAUCCCUGUCUAUUACUAAUUCAUUUUGUUGUGAGUUUGCCUCCUCCACUGGUGUGCUUUCUUUGACUGCUGUGUUAUGAGUAACCAAGUCAUGUAAUUCUUUGAUAGGAGAACUCUGUUUGAUUGCCCCUGGAUACAUGACUACUGCAUUAAUAUCUCUUAUCCUCCUAACAUAGUGCAAUUGAUCUUGUUUGCCAAGUGAGCAGUCUGUAAGGAUAUUCAUGUUCUCAGCAUCCUCAGAAUUAAGAAGAAGGUCCUCCUCAAACUCCAACAUAGCUAUAACCACAACACCAUGUCCACCUACACUGUCUCCAUGUAAGAUCUGAUGGUCCUUGUGAACUACCAAAGUUUUAUCCUAUAACUCAAUUUUCGGGAAAUAUGUUUCAUUAUACUCAUUUUGUUCCUCACUUACUACCUCCACAUGUAUAUCUUCAUCAAGUAGGUCCCUAUUAUCAUUUGUAACCUGCUCUAUAUUUUGCAGGUCAGUAUGAAGAACCAGAGUUUUAUUUAAAUCCUCAAACUCCUGAGAAGGCAUCACAUUGUUGGCAAUCAUCUCCCCUGAUUCAUCUCCUUCAUGCAUGAUUUCUACAUUUUUGUCCUUGGUGUUUUCCAUGUUAUUUGCUUCACUGUUCUUAAAGCCUUGAUUACCUGCUGUGAUUGUAUUUUUGUAGAAGGAAUUUGUAGUCCAUUCUUUGGUAUUCAUCUUCUCCCCCUCCACUUUAUGUUUUUCUCCAUCAUCCUGCUCUUCAUUAAGAGCAUUAAAUGAAUUGUUGGUCGCAAUAUCAUCCUUCUUUAUUUCCAUGCCUGCAGUAGUAACCUCCAUAUCUGUGUCUCUGAUGAAUCUUCUGUUGGUCGGGUUCCACUAUUUUUUAAGGAACCUUGGUGAUAUGAUCACUUUUUUAUCCUUUCCUCCCAUAGCUGUAUUCUGUUCUUGUUUUCUCAAUUCAG